GACGAACCACACAAACGUUAUUCGGAAUUACUGGGCUUAAAGGGUGCGUAGGCGGCGCAGAAAGUAGGGUGUGAAAUCCCUCGGCUUAACCGAGGAACUGCGUCCGAUACUGAAAGGCUUGAAUCCGGGAGAGGGAUGUGGAAUUCCAGGUGUAGCGGUGAAAUGCGUAGAUAUCUGGAGGAACACCGGUGGCGAAGGCGGCAUCCUGGACCGGUAUUGACGCUGAGGCGCGAAAGCUAGGGGAGCAAACGGG
rnacentral:rRNA from 1 species